CCUGACCAUCCUGACGAAAAUAAGCAGUUUUUGAGUAAUCAUCUAUUUCAGAUGAAUCGAUAUCUGGCACUACAUUGUCAAUUACACAACGACUUUCAUUUACUAACACAUCAUCAACAUUAUCAAUGUUGAUGUAGUCUUUUAGAGGUGUCGAUAAUACAAUCCACCAUUUUGGAUCGAGUUGGUCCUUCACAUAAAAAAGAUGUCUAGCUUGGGAAGCUAAGAUGAAAGGAUCAUUAAAUGCCCCAACCUAUCAAGCUCAACCAAUGUAUAACCAAGAUCAUCUUUUCUGAUCCCAUGUGCACUGUCUACCCAAGCACACCUGAAUAUUAGUAUCCUCAACAAUUGAUAUUAGAAAAGCCAUAUCUCCUGAAUAACGCCAUAAUAGCACGAUUUAGCAAUCACUGGGUUGUUGUCCUUCGUGCUUGUAACGUGCAUCCCUUUCGAUUCUAUGUUAACC
rnacentral:lncRNA from 1 species